AGUUUACCCAAGACACUGCUAUUACAAAGUGUGACUUAAGGAGAAGAAAGUGCCAGUUUUGCUGAUUUAUUCAGCACAUAUAUAAUUGCUCGCCCACUGCACAGAAAGCGCUCUAACAGGUACUGGAGACAGACAGAUAGACAAGAAAGGUGAAACUCAACCUCAUGAAACUCACGAGCUAUCAGAGAAGACGUAUCCUAAACAAAUAAGCAAAUGCACAGAUGAAACAAUUUCACGCAGUGGAACGAAAGAAGAAAUUGACAAAUUUAUUGUUCGUUUGCCGAGUUCAAAAGCCUUUCUAAUUAAGAAUACAGUCAGUGUUUGAAUAUUGAGCUGCAAGUCAAGCAAUGUGAUAUUCAGACUGAUUAAUGACUUGGAGAUUUCAU